CGCGCAGGCGGUCUUUUAAGUCUGAUGUGAAAGCCUUCGGCUUAACCGGAGAAGUGCAUCGGAAACUGGGAGACUUGAGUGCAGAAGAGGACAGUGGAACUCCAUGUGUAGCGGUGAGAUGCGUAGAUAUAUGGAAGAACACCAGUGGCGAAGGCGGCUGUCUGGUCUGUAACUGACGCUGAGGCUCGAAAGCAUGGGUAGCGAACA
rnacentral:rRNA from 1 species